AGCUUUAUAGUCAAUAAUGAUUUUAAAUUGCAAAUUUAAAGGUAAAUUUUAAGUUUUAAAGCUU
rnacentral:tRNA from 1 species